AUUGAACGCUGGCGGCAGGCCUAACACAUGCAAGUCGAACGAGUGGCGGACGGGUGAGUAAUGUCUGGGAAACUGCCUGAUGGAGGGGGAUAACUACUGGAAACGGUAGCUAAUACCGCAUACCAUCAGAUGUGCCCUGAUGGGAUUAGCUUGUUGGUGGGGUAACGGGUCACCAAGGCGACGAUCCCUAGCUGGUCUGAGAGGAUGACCGUCGCCACUGGGACUGAGACACAGUCCGAACUCCUACGGGAGGCAGCAGUGGGGAAUAUUGCACACUGGGCGCAAGCCUGAUGCAGCCAUGCCGCGUGUAUGAAGAAGGCCUUCGGGUUGUAAAGUACUUUCAGCGGGGAGGCGUUACCCGCAGAAGAAGCACCGGCUAACUCCGUGCCAGCAGCCGCGGUAAUUC
rnacentral:rRNA from 1 species